UACAGAGGUCUCAAGCGUUGUUCGGAUUCAUUGGGCGUAAGGGUGCGUAGGCGGCGCGGUAAGUCGGGUGUGAAAUCUCGGGGCUUAACUCCGAAACUGCAUUCGAUACUGCCGUGCUUGAGGACUGGAGAGGAGACUGGAAUUUACGGUGUAGCGGUGAAAUGCGUAGAUAUCGUAAGGAAGACCAGUGGCGAAGGCGGGUCUCUGGACAGUUCCUGACGCUGAGGCACGAAGGCCAGGGGAGCAAACGGG
rnacentral:rRNA from 1 species